AACGCUAGCGGCAGGCUUAACACAUGCAAGUCGAGGGGUAACAGUAAUAGCUUGCUAUUUGCUGACGACCGGCGCACGGGGGCGUAACGCGUAUACAAUCUACCUUUUACAGAGGGAUAGCCCAGAGAAAUUUGGAUUAAUGCUCCAUGGUAUUAUGAUGUGGCAUCACAUUAUAAUUAAAGCUUCGGCGGUAAAAGAUGAGUAUGCGUCCUAUUAGCUGGAUGGUAAGGUAACGGCUUACCAUGGCGACGAUAGGUAGGGGUCCUGAGAGGGGGAUCCCCCACACUGGUACUGAGACACGGACCAGACUCCUACGGGAGGCAGCAGUGAAGAAUAUUGGGCAAUGGAGGCAACUCUGACCCAGCCAUGCCGCGUGCAGGAAGACGGCCCUAUGGGUUGUAAACUGCUUUUGUACGGGAAGAAACCUGAUUACGUGUAAUCAGCUGACGGUACCGUACGAAUAAGGAUCGGCUAACUCCGUGCCAGCAGCCGCGGUAAUACGGAGGAUCCAGGCGUUAUCCGGAUUUAUUAGGUUUAAAGGGUGCGUAGGCGGAAAUAUAAGUCAGUGGUGAAAUCCUGCAGCUCAACUGUAGAACUGCCAUUGAUACUGUUUUUCUUGAGUAUAGUUGAGGUGGGCGGAAUGUGUCAUGUAGCGGUGAAAUGCUUAGAUAUGACACAGAACACCGAUUGCGUAGGCAGCUCACUAAACUAUCACUGACGCUGAGGCACGAAAGCGUGGGGAGCGAACAGGAUUAGAUACCCUGGUAGUCCACGCCGUAAACGAUGAUUACUCGUUGUGUGCGAUAUAUUGUACGCGACUAAGCGAAAGUAUUAAGUAAUCCACCUGGGGAGUACGUUGGCAACAAUGAAACUCAAAGGAAUUGACGGGGGCCCGCACAAGCGGAGGAACAUGUGGUUUAAUUCGAUGAUACGCGAGCAACCUUACCUGGACUUAAAUGUAGAUUGACCGGUAGAGAUAGUCUUUUUCUUCGGAACUAUUUACAAGGUGCUGCAUGGUUGUCGUCAGCUCGUGCCGUGAGGUGUCGGGUUAAGUCCCAUAACGAGCGCAACCCCUAUCGUUAGUUGCUAGCAGGUAAUGCUGAGGACUCUAGCGAGACUGCCACCGUAAGGUGAGAGGAAGGUGGGGAUGACGUCAAAUCCAGCACGGCCCUUAUGUCCAGGGCUACACACGUGUUACAAUGGCAGGUACAAAGGGCAGCUACACAGCGAUGUGAUGCUAAUCUCUAAAGCCUGUCCCAGUUCGGAUUGGAGUCUGCAACCCGACUCCAUGAAGUUGGAUUCGCUAGUAAUCGGAUAUCAGCCAUGAUCCGGUGAAUACGUUCCCGGGCCUUGUACACACGCCCGUCAAACCAUGGAAGCUGGGGGUGCCUGAAGUCUGUGACCGUAAGGAGCGGCCUAA
rnacentral:rRNA from 1 species